CAGUGGCGGGUGCUUACCAUGCAGUCGAACGGUGAAAGCGGAGCUUGCUCUGCUGGAUCAGUGGCGAACGGGUGAGUAACACGUGAGCAAUCUGCCCCUGACUCUGGGAUAAGCGCUGGAAACGGCGUCUAAUACCGGAUACGAGCUGCGAAGGCAUCUUCAGCAGCUGGAAAGAACUUCGGUCAGGGAUGAGCUCGCGGCCUAUCAGCUAGUUGGUGAGGUAACGGCUCACCAAGGCGUCGACGGGUAGCCGGCCUGAGAGGGUGACCGGCCACACUGGGACUGAGACACGGCCCAGACUCCUACGGGAGGCAGCAGUGGGGAAUAUUGCACAAUGGGCGCAAGCCUGAUGCAGCAACGCCGCGUGAGGGACGACGGCCUUCGGGUUGUAAACCUCUUUUAGCAGGGAAGAAGCGAAAGUGACGGUACCUGCAGAAAAAGCGCCGGCUAACUACGUGCCAGCAGCCGCGGUAAUACGUAGGGCGCAAGCGUUAUCCGGAAUUAUUGGGCGUAAAGAGCUCGUAGGCGGUCUGUCGCGUCUGCUGUGAAAACCCGAGGCUCAACCUCGGGCCUGCAGUGGGUACGGGCAGACUAGAGUGCGGUAGGGGAGAUUGGAAUUCCUGGUGUAGCGGUGGAAUGCGCAGAUAUCAGGAGGAACACCGAUGGCGAAGGCAGAUCUCUGGGCCGUAACUGACGCUGAGGAGCGAAAGGGUGGGGAGCAAACAGGCUUAGAUACCCUGGUAGUCCACCCCGUAAACGUUGGGAACUAGUUGUGGGGACCAUUCCACGGUUUCCGUGACGCAGCUAACGCAUUAAGUUCCCCGCCUGGGGAGUACGGCCGCAAGGCUAAAACUCAAAGGAAUUGACGGGGACCCGCACAAGCGGCGGAGCAUGCGGAUUAAUUCGAUGCAACGCGAAGAACCUUACCAGGCUUGGCCUAUAAAGGAAACGGCUGGAAACAGUCGCCCCGCAGGGCUCUAUACCGGGGGGGGCUGGUUGCCCCAAGC
rnacentral:rRNA from 1 species